CUAGCGACUUCAGAGUUUGAUCCUGGCUCAGGAUGAACGCUGGCGGCGUGCUUAACACAUGCAAGUCGAACGAAGCACUUUAACGGAUUUUUUCGGAAUGAAGUUCUUGUGACUGAGUGGCGGACGGGUGAGUAACGCGUGGGUAACCUGCCUCAUACAGGGGGAUAACAGUUAGAAAUGACUGCUAAUACCGCAUAAGACCACAGUACCGCAUGGUACAGGGGUAAAAGCCGAGACGGUAUGAGAUGGACCCGCGUCUGAUUAGGUAGUUGGUGAGGUAACGGCUCACCAAGCCGACGAUCAGUAGCCGACCUGAGAGGGUGACCGGCCACAUUGGGACUGAGACACGGCCCAA
rnacentral:rRNA from 1 species